AGCAGUCCCGGCCAACCAGGGCCUGCCACGUGGCAAGACCACAUCACUCCGAAGGGUAGCCACGUUGGCGAUCCGCGUGGGUGCGAUCCGACGGCCCAGAUCAAUCACGCGACCGGACGGCCCAGAUUCAAUCGCACGGACGGCCCAGAUUCAAUCAAAAACGAACGGCCCAGAUUAAAACAAAAUGAACGGCUGUGAUUAAAAGGCAAGGGGUUAUAAAUAGAACCCCCACACCAGACC
rnacentral:lncRNA from 1 species